rnacentral:lncRNA from 1 species
GGAGAAUGUUCAGGACUGUGGAGGCGCGCUCCGCACCUGGCCUGAAAGCGGGAGAUUUGGCAACCAGUGCGCGUGGGUGCGCCGGCCCUUGCCGCUGGGGACUCUGGAGGCAGACCUUGCCCAAAGCCAGAGGCGGGAACUCCCCAGAUCCUCCCAGGGUAGCAUGGGAGGAUGCCGCCUCCUCCAGGAAGCUCUCUAGCGCUUUUCCGAGUCCUGGAGCCAGGCGGGACUUCUCUGUGGUCGCCUAGAAGGAGACCAACAAUUGUCAGCACAGCAAAACUGGGCAUUUCUUUUCUUACUGAGCUUUGCAGCUACCUACACAGUUGUGUGUGGCAUCUCCUCCUGGGCGCAAGGACAUGAGAUGA